rnacentral:rRNA from 1 species
GAUGAACGCUGGCGGCGUGCCUAAUACAUGCAAGUCGAGCGAACAGACGAGGAGCUUGCUCCUCUGACGUUAGCGGCGGACGGGUGAGUAACACGUGGAUAACCUACCUAUAAGACUGGGAUAACUUCGGGAAACCGGAGCUAAUACCGGAUAAUAUAUUGAACCGCAUGGUUCAAUAGUGAAAGACGGUUUUGCUGUCACUUAUAGAUGGAUCCGCGCCGCAUUAGCUAGUUGGUAAGGUAACGGCUUACCAAGGCAACGAUGCGUAGCCGACCUGAGAGGAUGAUCGGCCACACUGGAACUGAGACACGGUCCAGACUCCUACGGGAGGCAGCAGUAGGGAAUCUUCCGCAAUGGGCGCAAGCCUGACGGAGCAACGCCGCGUGAGUGAUGAAGGUCUUCGGAUCGUAAAGCUCUGUUAUUAGGGAAGAACAAAUGUGUAAGUAACUAUGCACGUCUUGACGGUACCUAAUCAGAAAGCCACGGCUAACUACGUG